GACGAACGCUGGCGGCGUGCCUAAUACAUGCAAGUAGAACGCACAGUUUAUACCGUAGCUUGCUACACCAUAGACUGUGAGUUGCGAACGGGUGAGUAACGCGUAGGUAACCUGCCUGGUAGCGGGGGGUAACUAUUGGAAACGAUAGCUAAUACCGCAUAAUAUUGAUUAUUGCAUGAUAAUUGAUUGAAAGAUGCUAUUGCAUCACUACCAGAUGGACCUGCGUUGUAUUAGCUAGUAGGUGAGGUAACGGCUCACCUAGGCGACGAUACAGCGCCGACCUGAGAGGGUGAGCGGCCAAACUGGGAAUGAGACAGGGCCCAGACUCCUACGGGAGGCAGCAGUAGGGAAUCUUCGGCAAGGGACGAAAGUCUGACCGAGCAACGCCGCGUGAGUGAAGAAGGUUUUCGGAUCGUAAAGCUCUGUUGUAAGAGAAGAACGGGUGUGAGAGUGGAAAGUUCACACUGUGACGGUAUCUUACCAGAAAGGGACGGCUAACUACGUG
rnacentral:rRNA from 1 species